GACGAACGCUGGCGGCGCGCCUAACACAUGCAAGUCGAACGGAGCUUAGAGAGCUUGCUUUUUAAGCUUAGUGGCGAACGGGUGAGUAACGCGUGAGUAACCUGCCCUAGAGUGGGGGACAACAGUUGGAAACGACUGCUAAUACCGCAUAAGCCCACGGUACCGCAUGGUACUGAGGGAAAAGGAUUUAUUCGCUUUAGGAUGGACUCGCGUCCAAUUAGCUAGUUGGUGAGGUAACGGCCCACCAAGGCGACGAUUGGUAGCCGGACUGAGAGGUUGAACGGCCACAUUGGGACUGAGACACGGCCCAGACUCCUACGGGAGGCAGCAGUGGGGGAUAUUGCACAAUGGGGGAAACCCUGAUGCAGCGACGCCGCGUGGAGGAAGAAGGUUUUCGGAUUGUAAACUCCUGUCGUUAGGGACGAUAAUGACGGUACCUAACAAGAA
rnacentral:rRNA from 1 species